CAGAAAUUUUCAACUUGUAGUUCAACUUUGUUUAAGCAAUAAGGUAAAGACAGAGAACACAAUUAUUUUGGCAAGACCAGAGCCAAUUGCCAAAAGCGGACCGGAAUGCGACCCUAAACUCGUCAAUCGGGUGAAGAACUAUGUCAGGGCACGGACCGGCAUUUUAAUGACCUUCAACUUUGACAACAAGGCAUAAAUGGCCAACAAUUGGGGCGUUAACGGAAAUUGGCUUAAAAAGCUAUAAAAUGUACCCAGUAGCUUGGACCAGGAAGGAAGCACAUUUAUUGACCUUUUCCACAUUCCGUUUUCCUUACGGCGGGACAUGACCCGAGACCCAAGUCGGGAGACAUUACGACAUACAUUUUUACGUGUUCCCAGAAUAUCAGACAUAAUUAAUAAGGCUUGCCAAUUAAGAGGCCACGGCAAAUUUUCAAGUGCGAAAUUUUCACAUCUAUUCAUGUCAGCAAAUUAUCGCAUCAAGUGAGAAAGGUAAAAAUUCAACAGAAAUUGGCCAAGGACAUUGAAUGGUGCGGGAGGGGGCUAAGUGGCAGAGGACAUUUGCCCCUAAUAGAUGGCAAUCUUGGGCGUGUGUAUCGUGAUUGUUGGGCUUCUCGUCUCGCAGAUGAAGACGCAGUGCGCAUGUGACAUAAUUGAGGGCGACACGGCCGCCUCGUAUGAACGAACAGGUGAGCAGGAUACACCUGUCCGUCCGUCGGGCACGCAUCCUCCGUCCAAUAGAAGAUUAUAAUGUACGCGUUGCUUAAUUUGAAUGGUGCGUGCUGGGCCGCCUUUGAAAUGCUGUCAGAGACGCUAAAUGAAAUUAAAGACUGCUGCCCCCGCAACGUGCUUUCACCUCCCACUUUCACCUCCUGCGUCACAGAUAACAGAGGGCACUCAUGUUUUAAAAAUUAAGCGAAAAUAACGAUAUUAGCAUAAAUAAGCGUCGCUAAUAGGAUUUCCUUUGUAAUUAUCAAAUUGCCAGGCUAGCACACAAGCUACCAAAUAAAAAAAUGGAACAAGCAGUAAAU
ensembl:ncRNA lncRNA:CR44494 long non-coding RNA:CR44494